UACAGAGGGUGCAAGCGUUGUUCGGAAUCAUUGGGCGUAAAGCGCGUGUAGGCGGCCCGGUAAGUCCGCUGUGAAAGUCCAGGGCUCAACCCUGGAAUGCCGGUGGAUACUGUCGGGCUCGAGUCCGGAAGAGGCGAGUGGAAUUCCUGGUGUAGCGGUGAAAUGCGCAGAUAUCAGGAGGAACACCGGUGGCGAAGGCGGGUUCUCUGGGCAUGAUCUGACGCUGAGGAGCGAAAGUGUGGGGAGCGAACAGG
rnacentral:rRNA from 1 species